AUUUGACCAAGAUCAGAUUGGUACUUCUCUUGAAGAUGAGAUGAGUUUAACUAUUGCUCAGAAGCAGAAAUUUACAAUUCGACAUAUAUCCCCUGAUUGGGGGUAUUCAUCUGAGCCAACAAAGAUUGUUAUCAUUGGAUCUUUUCUUUGUAAUCCUUCAGAGUGCACGUGGACUUGCAUGUUUGGUGAUAUUGAAGUUCCUGUUCAGAUCAUUCAAGAAGGUGUCAUCUGUUGUCAAGCUCCUCGUCACUUGCCUGGUAAAGUCACGCUUUGUGUUACUAGUGGCAAUCGGGAGUCGUGCAGUGAGGUGAGGGAG
rnacentral:misc_RNA from 1 species